CAAUGCAUGCUGAAUGAUUGGGAUAUAUAAAUGUUUGUUGACAGGUGGAAACUUUUGAGAAACAAGCAAAUUACAGGGGAGACUGCCGAAUUUUCGGCAAAAGUCUAGCUGAUAGAAAAAUUCGUUUCUAGUUAGAAGGACGAUUUGGUCAUUUGUGCUCGGCAUUCUUCAGGUGUCGGACACGCAUAGGGUUCGGCUCGAAUUCCAAAGUGGUCGGGUCCUGUCAUAUAAUCCUGCCUAGCUUUCAACAAGUUGAAUAGAUAUGGAGAAAGGUUCAUUCAAGUCAGCUUUCUUCAUUGUGCUCUUUCUUGUUUCAUAUGAUGGUGUGCAAUUUGGAGCCGAAGCAAGAGGUCCAGUUGUUCGUUAUCCGUGCCAAACAUCUACUCCAUGCGGCCCAUGCACAUGCGUUGAGAAUUGGUGUAAGUGUCCACCAGAUAAAAUAUCGAAGUUCAUUCUUCAAGACAUCUCUACACACCCGCAAGCACAGAAGGAAAUGCCAUAAUCAGCGCUACUUGAUACAUUAAUAUAUAUCAUUGCUCGAAUGACUGUCUAAAUGAGGCUUGACUGUUUGUGAACUAUUUUGUUUAUGUUUGAAUUACGAGUUUAUGUUAUAGUAUUUUAUUAUUUUCUUGAGUGUUA